GGUCCUGGAUGUCCUGAGGCUCCACAACCCUUCCAGCUGGAGGGUCCCUCACAUACGUGCAGCAUCACGAAGCUCCAAGGCUGGGGAGAACCGCCCUGGUCCGCAUCCUUUUACAGUCCCAUCAGUUGUCAUUGAAGGCCAAAUGGUUUCGUGAAGCUCUGUGCCCAAACUGAGGAAUCUGGAUUUUAAAAUCUGUUCAAUAACACACAGAGGCUGUGAUUCCCCUAUUUGCCGUGGCCAGAAGAGGAAGAGCUCACAUCUUUCCUCCUGCACUGAUUCCCAGACCUCUUUCUCUGCCCUCUCAGCUAGACUCAUUGGGAAUGGUUUGACCAGUGGUGGGUAUCUUCAAAAAUCCUCUUCAGAGUGCUUGCACACUUGGCCAUUUCAUCCAUUAUUUAUUGGAGAAUAGUUCCAGAAGAUAGAGGUGCCACACAACAGCAGCCAAGACUUUUAGGUGCACUUGAAUGGCCCAUUUAUUUCUUGAUUGUUUGGCACCUUCUUUGUGAUUUUUAAAAGCAAGCAGUUCCAGGUAGUUUCCGAAAACUGACAUUUAAAUCCAUUCCCCAGCUACCCAAAUUGAUUUCAAGUGAUAUCCCAAUGCCUGUGCAUUUACAUUUUCCAAGUUUCCCAUGUCUAUGCUUUCAUAACUGCCAUCCUUAUACUAAAAAAAUCCUACUUUUACUCAUCUUCUUUUGAAUAUUUUGAUUAAAGAUAUUAACAACAAGAUGUCAUUCUUGGCAUUUUAGAUUCCCUACUCAUUAUAAACUCAUUGUACAACUUUUUUUUCCUGAUGUAUUUUUAGAGUAUAUUUUAUUCUCUAUUAAUUCUUUUGGCUCAUUUUCCUGUCCUUCUCUGUCUCCUUGUAAACAAAGAGGGAGUUGUAUGGGCAUAAGAGCGCAGACUGGCUUGUCUAGGGUACCUCUUCAUCUGGACCAUCCAAAAUUUUUGUCCUUCCUUU